CGCAUGCCUCUCUCCUUUCUUGUGGCGGCGCUGGAUAGCUUUGUGCGAAGGCGCCAUUUCGCAAUGACCGUGAGGCUAGGUGGUGUGCUGGCAUUGCCACUAUGUAUACAGAAAAGGAGAUAAUGAAAAACUCAAAGAAUGACAGAACAGAUGUCCUCUAGUACAUAAUUUUAAAAGUGGCCAUCAUGGUUGUUAGCAUACUUGCUGAAACUGUUUCCUACAAAGGUUGACAGAUGUGGUCCAGGCAACAUCUGGGGUUGACCUGAUGUAGGGAUAACUUGCUGCUGAUUCUUAAAUUAUCAUCCAACUGAUAGAAUUACAUCAUUAAUGUGAGGGUGCAGCUUGUGAAGGCAGUGUUUUCAGGCCUGCUUCAGAAGUAAAAAGUGAAAUGAAUUUGACGAGGUCAGAACAUCACCUGAAGUCUUCCCAUAUGCGCUCAAGAAAUCAGUCUGAGAAUUAGCGGUACAAUAAAUCUAAAACUUUGAAACUAAUGUUUACAUCAAGCGGCCAUGUCUUUGCUAUUUUGAAUGGCAUCAGAGAAUCAUUAAGAACAUGUAAUUGUGAAAGUACAUCAAAAUAAAUAAAAACAACUUGUAAGAUG